AACGCGAAGAACCUUACCUGGGCUUGAACCGCACAGGACCAUCUUUGGAAACAGAGACUUCCCGCAAGGGACCUGUGUAGAGGUGCUGCAUGGCUGUCGUCAGCUCGUGCCGUGAGGUGUUGGGUUAAGUCCCGCAACGAGCGCAACCCUUACUCGUAGUUGCCACCCGCAAGGGGGAACUCUACGAGGACUGCUCCGGAUAACGGAGAGGAAGGUGGGGAUGAGGUCAAGUCAGCAUGGCCUUUAUGUCCAGGGCUACACACGUGUUACAAUGCGCGCCACAAAGCGUCGCGAACCCGCGAGGGGGAGCUAAUCGCAAAAAAGCGCGCUCAGUUCGGAUUGCAGUCUGCAACUCGACUGCAUGAAGCCGGAAUCGCUAGUAAUGGCGCAUCAGAACGGCGCCGUGAAUACGUUCCCGGGCCUUGUA
rnacentral:rRNA from 1 species